GGUCAUCUGACAGGAUGACCAUAGAAUUCUUGUUUGUAGCUCAGUCUUGUGUUUCCCCUUACCCUGAGCUCCCUAACAAGUGCCAAAUAAUCGGUCAAAGGACAGAAGGCAAGUGGACCACAAAGUGGACAGAGGUGCCACCUGCCAUCUGUCACAUAUACCUAAUGGUCCUUUGUUGUCAUGGUAGGAGCCAAAUCCUGCUGAUGUGCAGAUUUCUUCCUGUGGGAUAUAUUAUUCUCAUGGACCUCUGAGGAACUGGCUACAUCUUACAAAAUCCACAAAGAAUCAGGACUUCUGCAUAACAACCUAAGCUCACUUCUGGGGAGUGUGUCUAGUAGUGGGAAUUGAUUCAAGAUGACUAAUUAGGAACACUGGUAUCUCAGCUCUCAUCUUGCACCCCUCUACCACAUCUGGAGGUCAUCUCAGCAGUGAAGAAUUCCAAAAAAUUGGGAUUUCUUUGUAAUUACCAGUUUUCAAAUGUGGGAGUUUCACAUUUUUAGAUGCAUCUGCAGGUUUCCCUGCAACUUUGAAGAGGCUUGAAAUAGACUCCUGAGACAAAACCACACUGUGUCUUCUUUCUCACCCCUACCUGAACAGGAAGGACUGCUACUUAAUCUGCUGAGUUCAAAGCACGGGCUGGAUUGAGAUGGGAGAAAAUGAUGUGAAGUGCCUGUGCUGGUGAAAGUCUGGCAAAAGGAAACAACCCUGUUCUACUCAGAGAAUGUGAAAGAUGUGAUGCAGAGCAGAAACAAACCAAUCCUGAGGCCAGACAUGUGGUGGAUUGUGAUUACAAAGAUCAGUAAUGAGGACAGCACCCUACACUUACUCCAAUGGUUUCUGCUAGCCACAGUUUCCUGUGCAGUCUGAACUCUGUGUCUCCAGCAUGCACCCCAGUGUCAUUUCCAUGUGACUCAAUGUGUCAAAGGUAGGUUGGUGCCUGCAGCCUGGAUUUUCCUUACUGACUUACAGUGCCAGCAUACACUGGGGAGUGAGGUCCCUGCUUCUGGUGGUCAAACCACUCGUGGGUCUUUGCUGGUUCACAGCAAGAGGUUGUCAGUAGUUGAACAACAUUAACACAAGAAUGUGCUAUUUGCAGCUCUGGGACACAUGGCUUCAAAAUGUCAUGGAGAUAAAGACUUGAACAAGAUUCAAAUCUGGGUGCAGUGUUAUAUGAAAACGGGACUAUUGAGGAGUAAAUAAUCAAAAAAUAUUUUGAAAGAUUGCAAAGUGCCAAGUUUUGAAGAUUUAAACCAGUCAUCAUGAACUGGCAGAAUGUCUCUGAGGGAAACUUUAUUCUGACCAAAGUUUUUUGCAAA